UACGUAGGGUGCAAGCGUUAAUCGGAAUUACUGGGCGUAAAGCGUGCGCAGGCGGUUUUGUAAGCCAGAUGUGAAAUCCCCGGGCUUAACCUGGGAAUGGCAUUUGGGACUGCAAGGCUGGAGUGCGGCAGAGGAGACUGGAAUUCCUGGUGUAGCAGUGAAAUGCGUAGAUAUCAGGAGGAACACCGAUGGCGAAGGCAGGUCUCUGGGCUGACACUGACGCUCAUGCACGAAAGCGUGGGGAGCAAACAGG
rnacentral:rRNA from 1 species